rnacentral:rRNA from 1 species
UCUUCCCUCUGGCGGCGUGCCUAAUACAUGCAAGUCGAGCGAACGGACGAGAAGCUUGCUUCUCUGAUGUUAGCGGCGGACGGGUGAGUAACACGUGGAUAACCUACCUAUAAGGCUGGGAUAACUUCGGGAAACCGUAGCUAAUACCGGAUAAUAUUUUGAACCGCAUGGUUCAAAAGUGAAAGACGGUCUUGCUGUCACUUAUAGAUGGAUCCGCGCUGCAUUAGCUAGUUGGUAAGGUAACGGCUUACCAAGGCAACGAUGCAUAGCCGACCUGAGAGGGUGAUCGGCCACACUGGAACUGAGACACGGUCCAGACUCCUACGGGAGGCAGCAGUAGGGAAUCUUCCGCAAUGGGCGAAAGCCUGACGGAGCAACGCCGCGUGAGUGAUGAAGGUCUUCGGAUCGUAAAACUCUGUUAUUAGGGAAGAACAUAUGUGUAAGUAACUGUGCACAUCUUGAUGGUACCUAAUCAGAAAGCCACGGCUAACUACGUG